rnacentral:rRNA from 1 species
UACGAAGGGGGCUAGCGUUGUUCGGAAUUACUGGGCGUAAAGCGCGCGCAGGUGGUCUCUCAAGUCAGUGGUGAAAGCCCGGAGCUCAACUCCGGAAAUGCCAUUGAAACUGUGAGACUUGAGGACGAGAGAGGUGAGUGGAAUUCCCAGUGUAGAGGUGAAAUUCGUAGAUAUUGGGAAGAACACCGGUGGCGAAGGCGGCUCACUGGCUCGUAUCUGACGCUCAGGCGCGACAGCGUGGGGAUCAAACAGG